AGGCUUUCAAACACAGAUCCUCCCCUUCCACCUUCAUCGUUCUCUUCGAAGAAGUUCUAACGUUUUUCUACCUUCUGUUUUUCUGAUCAGUAACGACAGUUUCCAUCAUUCUUUUUCAUUAAACCUCUAAUUUAAUCAUUCAAUGUAGGCUAUUCCACCAUUCCAAAUCCCUCUGUUCUCCACCUUAUAUAAACCCAAUGAAUCUCUUCUCCUCGCAAAAUUCACGAAACCCAUCAAAGCACAUCAGGCAAUGGCGACCAAAUCGACAAAUCCGACCGGUAAGGCUCCAAUCGCUCAAUUUCUUAAAGAUGUCCCCCCUGGCUUAGUUACUUGGGGCUGCGUUUCCGUUUGAUUCAUUUGUGGGAAGCAAAAAACACAGCGGAAGGGGGACAUGCUUAGUGGGUUUAGAACUGCUUCUCAUGUACGAGCAGGUAUGAAAACUAAUUUCAGAUAAGAUUAUUUGCUUCCCUAAGAUUUGAUUCCAAUAUUCAAGACAACUCACUACUCUCUUUACGACAUGGAACUGUUGUACAAGCAAAUCAAGAGCAAGAUGACGAUGUUGGAGAGUCAAAGAAUGUUGUAUCACUGUGGGAGCGUCUUCAACACUUUCGUUUCUGUUUGUGGCUUUUCUGAUUUGGUUGUGCUGUUUCUUAAAUCAUUCAUUCUCACUUUUUAGUUCUUUUUGUUUUGUUUGGGUUCAAAAUAAUAAGACGAAAUUGUUUUAAAUCCAAAAAUCUUUGAUUCAUUAUGUGUUACAGUGUCUCAGUUGAUCUUCGGAGUGUCGGCUGUGUUUUCGUAGAGAUUUUUACCGGAAGACCACUUCUUAAAAGGAAGAACAGAGAUUAAACAACUUCACAUACUGUAUAAACUCUUGGGUUCACCAGAUGAAGAAUUCUGGGAAAAUAACAAGCUUCAUUCUCAAACUAAGUGUUUAGACCACAACAUCAAUAUGACCGUUGUCUGAGAAUCUAUUAACAUCAAGGAGUUUCCGAUAACAUCAGCUGAUCUUCAGGAGAAUAUAUUAUCUGUUGAUCCAGACAAACGAGGAACUGUCUCUUAUGCUCUCAUGUAAGAGGAGAAAAUAAGGUAUAAAAGAAAAGAUAUAACUUGGUUUUCAAGAAAAUGGUGAAAUUAUGAAGAACAAUCAAAGAGCUUGCAAAUCUAAACAAGUUACCAACCCAACAGGAAGCCGAGACAUAAAUCUUUUUCCAUACGCUAUCGGAGAUAUCUCAAGUGACUACUUGAAGCGAGUUUCCGUACACAGAUUUAUCUCAUACCACGACAUCGGCAAGCGGGUUCACAUUGGCUGGGACAAAGAAGAGAAAAGAUGACAACGCAGCUUCAACACUCACUUAUAAUCAGCCUGCAGGAUCUGUGAGCAUAUCAUUUGCUAAGACCACUUUUGGCUGACAAUAAAUGAAGACAAAACGUGCUUUCUUAAACAGCAAGUUUCUCCAGACUCCUCUGAGGUGUUUCUGUUCCAUAGCGCCACAAGAAAUCAGAAGAAGAUACAGUGGGUCCAUUGAAUUUGGAUUUGAAGAAAGCUUGAACGAGUCCGAAGAUGUAUUUCAAACUAAUGGAAUGCCGUGGUAUUCAUGGACUGAGAGUGGUGCAAGAGUCAGUGUUCGAAGAUCACCAAGAAAAGAAAAUUCAGUCCGUGUCGUAUAUACUUCAAAUCAUUUGAAGUCCAUAUAUAAAAUCGUAUAUACUUGAAAUCAUUCGAAUAUAUUUGUUUUCACAUAGAAUUUAAAAUUAUCAAUAAAAAUAUACAAAAUCAGUA